rnacentral:rRNA from 1 species
UACGUAGGUGGCAAGCGUUGUUCGGAAUUAUUGGGCGUAAAGGGCGCGUAGGCGGCCUCUGCAAGUCGACUGUGAAAUCUCCGGGCUUAACCCGGAACGGUCAGCCGAUACUGCAGGGCUAGAGUGCAGAAGGGGCAACUGGAAUUCUCGGUGUAGCGGUGAAAUGCGUAGAUAUCGAGAGGAACACCUGCGGCGAAGGCGGGUUGCUGGGCCGACACUGACGCUGAGGCGCGAAAGCCAGGGGAGCGAACGGG